AUCACGUAUGCGUAGUUCAGAGAGUUACGUAGCGCAACAUCUGCGCAGUGUAAUUAACGUCAACGGCUCAACACCUGCCCGGAUGUCAACCUAAACACAGCGUCUUGUAACCAUGGAUGUAACGGGCUUCAAAGUGCGCUAUCAUUCAAUCUGAGGAGGCAGGACCGGCUAAUGCACAGUCUUUGGCUAUAAAGCUGUUUUGGUCAACUACAGCACCCUGACCAGGAGAAGGCUGCUGCGUCCCUCACCAUUCGCACACCAACCUGUUCAUGCCAGGAAGGUUACCCCAGAAGUAGCGAGCGCGGUGGGCAGCGGACACUUCCUUGGCAUCAAUCAUCACCGGGUUGCACUGAAAUCCAAGUAAAGCAGAGGAGAAAACACAUCAGGACCCAAAAGAUAUUGGUGAGCUGGCUGGGGAACACUCCAGCGCCCGUGGUCUGUGCAAAUGAUGAUUCUCCGUGACAUCCCGCUCACAGUGACUGCAUCCUGUGGGCUAAUGACACCGGCCGAAAGCUGCAAAGGAAGCACUUAAAGAAGACCGCGGACACACAGCACAUUACGGCCGACCAAUGAGGGAGAAGCCUCGGACCUAAAGCCCCCAACAUGCCCGGGUGCAUGUACACAAGGGGUGUGUUCACUGACCAGGGGGCGUUCACUGACCAGCAGAGCAACAAGGGAAGGUUCUGCGGCCCUGAGGAAAUCUCCAGGCAGGCAGGAUUCUUCUCUAUAUUUAUAUAUAGAACUAGAAAAUAACUCCAAGUAGACAGGUUCGACUCCGGCCUGCAGAAGUAUUUUGGCAAUGUCAUCCCUUCUGUCCCCCCUUUUCAACACUGCAUCUAUAAAAUAAAGGCCCUCUCUGGCCCGAAAAUAAUAAUCAUAUUUGUCAUUAAGCAAAAAUGACGGACGUGCUAGUUGUAGCUUCACACUUGUGAGAAAUGUGUUUUCAUAAGGACGGGUCAAUGUAAUAUUACGUGGUGUUGACCAAGACAUUUGAGGACAUCCCCUUGGGCUUUAGUGAGUUCAUUUCUCACUAUUUUCUGACACUUUAAAGGACAAAACAAUUCACUGAAAACAGCCUUUAGUUACACUCAUUCCCAUCCAUCACCAUUUCUCCCCAGAGCUCAAGGUGACAUCUUUAAGUGUCUUUUUCUUGACAACAAUCCAAAAAAUAUUGACUUGACGAUUCAAGAAAGAGAGAAACUGAAAUGAUAGUUUGUUGUUGUGUAUCUGAUC